CCUACGGGAGGCAGCAGUGAGGAAUAUUGGUCAAUGGACGAGAGUCUGAACCAGCCAAGUAGCGUGAAGGAUGACUGCCCUAUGGGUUGUAAACUUCUUUUAUAUGGGAAUAAAAUGUUCCACGUGUGGGAUUUUGUAUGUACCAUAUGAAUAAGGAUCGGCUAACUCCGUGCCAGCAGCCGCGGUAAUACGGAGGAUCCGAGCGUUAUCCGGAUUUAUUGGGUUUAAAGGGAGCGUAGGUGGAUUGUUAAGUCAGUUGUGAAAGUUUGCGGCUCAUCCGUAAAAUUGCAGUUGAAACUGGCAGUCUUGAGUACAGUAGAGGUGGGCGGAAUUCGUGGUGUAGCGGUGAAAUGCUUAGAUAUCACGAAGAACUCCGAUUGCGAAGGCAGUUCACUGGACUGCAACUGACACUGAGGCUCGAAAGUGUGGGUAUCAAACAGGAUUAGAUACCCCUGUAGUC
rnacentral:rRNA from 1 species